GAUGAAGAACGCAGCGAAAUGCGAUAAGUAAUGUGAAUUGCAGAAUUCAGUGAAUCAUCGAAUCUUUGAACGCACAUUGCGCCCGCCAGUAUUCUGGCGGGCAUGCCUGUUCGAGCGUCAUUUCAACCAUCAAGCCCCCGGCUUGUGUUGGGGACCUGCGGCUGCCGCAGGCCCUGAAAACCAGUGGCGGGCUCGCUGGUCACUCCGAGCGUAGUAGUUACAUCUCGCUCAGGGCGUGCUGCGGGUUCCGGCCGUUAAAAGCCUUAUUUACCCAAGGUUGACCUCGGAUCAGGUAGGAAGACCCGCUGAACUUAAGCAUAUCAAUAAGCGGAGGA
rnacentral:misc_RNA from 1 species